rnacentral:rRNA from 1 species
AUACAGAGGGUGCAAGCGUUAAUCGGAAUUACUGGGCGUAAAGGGCGCGUAGGUUGCUAGUUUAGUCAGAUGUGAAAUAUCCGGGCUUAACCUGGACAUGUCAUCUGAUACUGGCUAGCUAGAGUACAGUAGAGGGAAGUGGAAUUUCCGGUGUAGCGGUGAAAUGCGUAGAUAUCGGAAGGAACAUCAGUGGCGAAGGCGACUUCCUGGACUGAUACUGACACUGAGGCGCGAAAGCGUGGGGAGCAAACAGGAUUAGAAACCCUAGUAGUCC